UAUUGACUGUGCCACAGAGGUCUGUAU
rnacentral:sRNA from 1 species